AGUGAACGCUGGCGGUAGGCCUAACACAUGCAAGUCGAACGGCAGCACAGGAGAGCUUGCUCUCUGGGUGGCGAGUGGCGGACGGGUGAGGAAUACAUCGGAAUCUACUCUGUCGUGGGGGAUAACGUAGGGAAACUUACGCUAAUACCGCAUACGACCUACGGGUGAAAGCAGGGGACCUUCGGGCCUUACGCGAUUGAAUGAGCCGAUGUCGGAUUAGCUAGUUGGCGGGGUAAAGGCCCACCAAGGCGACGAUCCGUAGCCGGUCUGAGAGGAGGAUCAGCCACACUGGAACUGAGACACGGUCCAGACUCCUACGGGAGGCAGCAGUGGGGAAUAUUGGACAAUGGGCGCAAGCCUGAUCCAGCCAUACCGCGUGGGUGAAGAAGGCCUUCGGGUUGUAAAGCCCUUUUGUUGGGAAAGAAAUCCAGCUGGCUAAUACCCGGUUGGGAUGACGGUACCCAAAGAAUAAGCACCGGCUAACUUCGUGCCAGCCGCCGCAGUAA
rnacentral:rRNA from 1 species